rfam:Glarea lozoyensis 74030 unplaced genomic scaffold M7I_scaffold10, whole genome shotgun sequence.
UCCGAAUUGGUGUAGGGGUCAACAUUUCUGGUUUUCACGAUUCACGGUCCACCGUCGUCUGAAAAUUCCAGGAGCCACGGGUUCGAUUCCCGUAUUCGGAA